rnacentral:rRNA from 1 species
CCUACGGGUGGCUGCAGUGAGGAAUAUUGGUCAAUGGGCGGGAGCCUGAACCAGCCAAGUCGCGUGAGGGAAGACGGCCCUAUGGAUUGUAAACCUCUUUUGCCCGGGAGUAAAACACGCCACGCGUGGCGUUCCGCGAGUACCCGAAGAAUAAGCAUCGGCUAACUCCGUGCCAGCAGCCGCGGUAAUACGGAGGGUCCGAGCGUUAUCCGGAUUCAUUGGGCUUAAAGGGUGCGCAGGCGGAAGAUCAAGUCAGCGGUAAAAUUGGGGGGCUCAACCUCUGCGAGCCGUUGAAACUGGAUGUCUUGAGUGAGCGAGAAGUAGGCGGAAUGCGUGGUGUAGCGGUGAAAUGCAUAGAUAGCACGCAGAACUCCGAUUGCGAAGGCAGCAUACCGGCGCUCAACUGACGCUCAGGCACGAAAGUGUGGGUAUCGAACAGGAUUAGAUACCCCUGUAGUC